rnacentral:rRNA from 1 species
AUUGAACGCUGGCGGCAGGCCUAACACAUGCAAGUCGAGCGGAGCGGCGGACGGGUGAGUAAUGCCUAGGAAUCUGCCCGGUAGUGGGGGAUACCGCACGGAAACGGGCGCUAAUACCGCAUACUAUCAGAUGAGCCUCGGUCGGAUUAGCUAGUUGGUGGGGUAAAGGCCUACCAAGGCGACGAUCCGUAACUGGUCUGAGAGGAUGAUCAGUCACACUGGAACUGAGACACGGUCCAGACUCCUACGGGAGGCAGCAGUGGGGAAUAUUGGACAAUGGACGAAAGCCUGAUCCAGCCAUGCCGCGUGAGUGAAGAAGGUCUUCGGAUUGUAAAGCACUUUAAGUUGGGAGGCGGUACCAACAGAGUAAGCACCGGCUAACUUCGUGCCAGCAGCCGCGGUAAUUC